UCAUAUGAUGAACUACAAGAAAAUUCGAUUAGUCUUGAAGACAUACCUCAUGGUUACAAAGCCUUUUUUCAACUGAGC
rnacentral:snoRNA from 1 species